rnacentral:tRNA from 2 species
GGGUUGCUAACUCAACGGUAGAGUAUUCGGCUUUUAACCGAUCGGUUCCGGGUUCGAAUCCCGGGCAACCUAC